rnacentral:rRNA from 1 species
GACGAACGCUGGCGGCGUGCUUAACACAUGCAAGUCGAACGGAAAGGCCCUGCUUUUGUGGGGUGCUCGAGUGGCGAACGGGUGAGUAACACGUGAGUAACCUGCCCUUGACUUUGGGAUAACUUCAGGAAACUGGGGCUAAUACCGUAUAGGAGCUCCUGCUGCAUGGUGGGGGUUGGAAAUUUUCGGCGGUUGGGGCUGGACUCGCGGCUUAUCAGCUUGUUGGUGGGGUAGUGGCUUACCAAGGCUUUGACGGGUAGCCGGCCUGGGAGGGUGACCGGGCACAUUGGGACUGAGAUACGGACCAGACUCCUACGUGAGGCAGCAGUGGGGAAUCUUGCACAAUGGGCGGAAGCCUGAUGAAGAAACGCCGCGUGCGGGAUGACGGCCUUCGGGUUGUAAAACGCUUUAGCCUGUGACGACGCGUGUGUGACGGUAAUGGGUAAAGAAGCACCGGCUAACUACGUG